UCGGGUUGAUCCUGCCAGUAGUGAUAUGCUUGUUUCAAAGAUUAAGCCAUGCAUGUCUAAGUAUAAGCGAACUUAUACAGUGAAACUGCGGAUGGCUCAUUAAAACAGUUUGAAUUUAUUUGAUGAAUGUAUGAGAAUACUACUUGGAUAACCGUAGUAAUUCUAGAGCUAAUACAUGCAACGACGCCCGACCGUUUCACUACGGAAGGGCUGUAUUUAUUGGAUACCAAAACCAUCCUUCCCUCGGGAAGUUUUGUUUGAUGAUUCACAAUAACUGAUCGGAUCGCCACUGUGGUGGCGACAGGUCAUUCAACAUUCUGCCCUAUCAGCUUUCGAUGGUUGUGUAGUGGACAACCAUGGCCAUAACGGGUAACGGAGAAUCAGGGUUCGAUUCCGGAGAAGGAGCUUGAGAAUUGGCUACUACAUCUAAGGAAGGCAGCAGGCGCGCAAAUUACCCAAUCCCGAUUCGGGGAGGUAGCGACAAAAAAUAACAAUACCGGGCCUUUUUGGGCUUGGUAAUUGGAAUGAGGGAGAGUUAAACGGACCAUCGAGUAUCCAUUGGAGGGCAAGUCUGGUGCCAGCAGCUGCGGUAAUACCAGCUCCAAUAGCGUAUAUCAAAGUUGUUGCAGUUAAAAAGCUCGUAGUUGGACUUGUGUGCGCUGUCCGCGGGUGGCCUGCGCCCAAAAGGGCGUUUCGGUUCGGCCCCGGUGGCGCCUUGUAAUCUGCAGCUGGGGGGACGUUGGCCUUAACUGGUCGGCGACCGCACGCCGGCUGCUCGGUUACUGUGAGAAAAUUAGAGUGUUCAAGGCAGGCAUUGGGUGCAAUUGAAUACAUUAGCAUGGAAUAAUAAAAUAUGGCUCCUGCCGUAUUUUGUUGGUUUUGACUGGUGGGAGUAAUGAUUGAUAGGGACGGUUGGGGGUGCUAGUAUUGAGCGGCCAGAGGUGAAAUUCAUGGAUUCGCUCAAGACUAACUUAUGCGAAAGCAUUCACCAAGGACGUCCUCUUUAAUCAAGAACGAAAGUUGGGGGAUCGAAGACGAUCAGAUACCGUCGUAGUCUCAACCAUAAAUUAUGUCGACUUGGGAUCGGCGGUAGUUUUUUCAUUAAGACACUGUCGGGACCACGGGAGAAAUCAAAGUGUCUGGACUCUGGGGGAAGUAUGGUCGCAAGGCUGAAACUUGAAGGAAUUGACGGAAGGGCACCACCAGGAGUGGAGCCUGCGGC
rnacentral:rRNA from 1 species